GGUUAAUAUUCCUGUACUUGGUGUUACUGCGAAGGGGGGACGGAGAAGGCUAUGUUGGCCGGGCGACGGUUGUCCCGGUCUAAGCGUGUAGGCUGGUUUUCCAGGCAAAUCCGGAAAAUCAAGGCUGAGGCGUGAUGACGAGGCACUACGGUGCUGAAGCAACAAAUGCCCUGCUUCCAGGAAAAGCCUCUAAGCAUCAGGUAACAUCAAAUCGUACCCCAAACCGACACAGGUGGUCAGGUAGAGAAUACCAAGGCGCUUGAGAGAACUCGGGUGAAGGAACUAGGCAAAAUGGUGCCGUAACUUCUGGAGAAGGCACGCUGAUAUGUAGGUGAAGCGACUUGCUCGUGGAGCUGAAAUCAGUCGAAGAUACCAGCUGGCUGCAACUGUUUAUUAAAAACACAGCACUGUGCAAACACGAAAGUGGACGUAUACGGUGUGACGCCUGCCCGGUGCCGGAAGGUUAAUUGAUGGGGUCAGCGCAAGCGAAGCUCUUGAUCGAAGCCCCGGUAAACGGCGGCCGUAACAAUAACGGUCCUAAGGUAGCGAAAUUCCUUGUCGGGUAAGUUCCGACCUGCACGAAUGGCGUAAUGAUGGCCAGGCUGUCUCCACCCGAGACUCAGUGAAAUUGAACUCGCUGUGAAGAUGCAGUGUACCCGCGGCAAGACGGAAAGACCCCGUGAACCUUUACUAUAGCUUGACACUGAACAUUGAGCCUUGAUGUGUAGGAUAGGUGGGAGGCUUUGAAGUGUGGACGCCAGUCUGCAUGGAGCCGACCUUGAAAUACCACCCUUUAAUGUUUGAUGUUCUAACGUGGACCCGUGAUCCGGGUUGCGGACAGUGUCUGGUGGGUAGUUUGACUGGGGCGGUCUCCUCCUAAAGAGUAACGGAGGAGCACGAAGGUUGGCUAAUCCUGGUCGGACAUCAGGAGGUUAGUGCAAUGGCAUAAGCCAGCUUGACUGCGAGCGUGACGGCGCGAGCAGGUGCGAAAGCAGGUCAUAGUGAUCCGGUGGUUCUGAAUGGAAGGGCCAUCGUUCAACGGAUAAAAGGUACUCCGGGGAUAACAGGCUGAUACCGCCCAAGAGUUCAUAUCGACGGCGGUGUUUGGCACCUCGAUGUCGGCUCAUCACAUCCUGGAGCUGAAGUAGGUCCCAAGGGUAUGGCUGUUCGCCAUUUAAAGUGGUACGCGAGCUGGGUUUAGAACGUCGUGAGACAGUUCGGUCCCUAUCUGCCGUGGGCGCUGGAGAACUGAGGGGGGCUGCUCCUAGUACGAGAGGACCGGAGUGGACGCAUCACUGGUGUUCGGGUUGUCAUGCCAAUGGCACUGCCCGGUAGCUAAAUGCGGAAGAGAUAAGUGCUGAAAGCAUCUAAGCACGAAACUUGCCCCGAGAUGAGUUCUCCCUGACUCCUUGAGAGUCCUGAAGGAACGUUGAAGACGACGACGUUGAUAGGCCGGGUGUGUAAGCGCAGCGAUGCGUUGAGCUAACCGGUACUAAUGAACCGUGAGGCUUAACC
rnacentral:rRNA from 1 species